GUCACUCUUUAGCUAGGGAGCUUUAAGCAAAGGACCUAACUACCUUCUCUAUAUGAAAGAGGUAUCUAGGCCUUGACUUACACAAACCUCCAAACCAUGUUGAGACAUUAUCUUCUUUGUACAGAUGAGGAAGGUGAGGUAGAAGAUAAAUGAGUAGUCCAAGAUCACAACAUCUGGGAGGUGGUCAAACUAGAAUUUGAAGCUAUGUCAUCCUACCUCUCAUAAAAUGAUUUUGAUGGCUCAAGAGAUUUUUUUUUGAAGAUUUGGUAGACUCACAAAUUGCUGGUAUGUGACAGGAACUCCAUGAACUUCCAGCCAUCCCAGGCUCCUCACCUCUCCCUGUGCACACCAGGUCUUAUUACAUCUGAGGUCUUGGUGCGCCCUCUGGAAUGUCCUUUUUGGCCCCUGUAGAUCUGGAGAUCUCCUUUUCACCCUUCAAAGCCUACUACAAACACAGGAACCUCUACGCUUCUUCCCAGACCAAACACUCUGCCUCUCCCAGGGAGACUUUCCUAAUCCUUCUCUUUUAUUUCCUCUUUACCAAAAGACCCCCCUGAAAACAUAGAUAGUACUUUCUGUUUCUCCUACUGCACUCCCUAAUGGUGGAGAGCCAUGCUGGGCCAGUUAGUGAAGGGGCUGGCAAAUCCCCUUAUAUGACAAAGCCUGUGAUAGGCACUGGGGAUACAAUGGUGGAAAAUACCUGUCUUCAAAGCCCAGAGGUCAAGUUCAUUGCUGAGGACUUAAGAUCACACUGAAGCCUGGAAAAAGAUGAAACUUGGCAGGAGAACUUCCUAAAGAAGACAAUUGGAAGCUGGGCACAAUAGCACAUGCCUAUAAUCCCGGCUACUCAGGAGGCUGAGGCAAGAGUAUGAAAAGUUCAAGGCUAGCCUUUGCAACUUAAGAAAGACCUUGUCUCAAAAUUAAUUUUAAAAGGGCUGGGGAUGAAGCUCAGUAGUAGAAAGCCCCUGGGUUCAAUCCCCAGUGACACAAAGAUAUCUGGAUCUGAGUUUGUAAGGAUAGAGAGAAUUAAAAAUUGGCAAAGAAGAGUUUUUAUAAUACCCUAGUAUAUAUAGGAAAUUCUAAUUUGGAAAUUCUACAGUAUGCCUGGAUAAAAAUGACAGAUUUAGCAAGUAAAAACAGGACACCGAGUUAAAUGUGAAUUUCAGAUAAAUAAGAAUUAUUUAAUAUAUGUAUAUUCAUGCAAUAUUUGGGAUGAUCUUUCUGUCUUCCUUUUGGGGGGGUACAGGUGAGUGGGUUAUGGGGAUUGAACCCAGGUAUGCUCUGCCACUGAGCCCUUUUCAUUUAUUUAUUUAUUUAUUUUUGACACAGGGUCUCUUUAAGUUGUCCAGGCUGGCUGUGAACUUGCAAUCCUCCUGCCUCAGCCUUCUGAGUAGCUCAGAUCACAGGCUGUGGCACCCUUGUACUUUUCUAAGAUUGUUAUUUACCUGAAAUUUUACUGGACAUUCUAAUUCUAUCUGGCAACCGUACAACAGGGACAAUCAGGACCUCGCAAGAGGUUACCUGAAGACAACGCCCACCAUUCCAGCCCACCCCUCCCCAAACUCACAUCACACAAGGGCCUUUCGGAGUAUUCCAUACUCUGGAAUACUAAGCACUUAAGUCACACAACACCUAUGGUGGUCAGAUUGGCUCCCAAGAUCUUAAAGGAGUAUAAAUAAAGCUCCGUCACAACCAACAGGCAAAAUCGGUGACCUGGACCCAGCAAUGCCCUGAGCCUACAACAACCUAUUCCCAGAAUGGCCCGCCUGAAAACAGCAGGAACGCACUGGCACAUAUGGUAAGGCAAGGACCUUAUACAAAAUAAGGACCGGUCCCCACAAUGCCCUGCGGCAAUUCUUCCCAGGAUGCUUCGGGCCUAUAAUGACCACCUUCCAAGACGCCCUACACCGAAGCACUGCCGACUUCCAGGAUGCUCAGUAGAGGGCGCAGGACAAAAGGGACCGGACCCCCACAGGGAUUUAGGGUAAUCCUUCCCAGGAUACACCAGGCCUAUAACGACCAGCAGACCGACUCCAACGCUGUUAAGACGCAGUGCUGGCUUUCCCAGGAUGCCCCAGGAGCGUGCGGAGCCGCGUAGGGGAAGGAAAGGAGUCCGGGUCUUGCCCUCAGGUCAUCACGGCUCAAGACCGCUGCAGGCUCCUCGGUGACGGCUGCCGCCGCUCCCAUCAUGCAGCGGGGCCGUAGCGCCCGCUUCCCAGCAUGCCCCGCGCACCCCGACCGCGGACACUCACCGGGGCUGGCGGCCCCAGCUCCGGUUCGGCGGUGGCGGCUGCACGCCCAGACUCUGCGCCUGCGUUGCAAGCAGAGUAGGAGGGAGAGCAAGGGGCGUGAGGAGCCUAGGGCGCUUGCGCAGCCAGAUGGACCAUUCCUGUCGCACUGUGGGAAGAGGGGCUAUCCGAGUCGGGCCACGGAGGGAACCCGCGCACGGGUUGCCGUGCUUUGCCCCUCACUGCCCGCGUUUACUUGGUACAGUCCGCGGCCUGAAGGAUCGAGAAGCUCCAGGGCUCGCGCGUGCGUGUGCGUGGCUGGAACGCGCUUUAUGAAAAUGGGAUGCGUUGUGGGUGGAGGGCGACCCCUCGGCCGGGAUCCUGGAUCCGAGGCCUUCUCAUUUACAUAAUCCUAGCGCGGGACAAAGGAGGGCCUCCGGCACUGGAAGGAGUGAUUUGCAUAUGCCUGGGAGAGGCUGUACUCUCGAGCGCAGUGAUUAGCAUAUGGGGGGGGGGGGCUUGAGUAAAGCGCAUGCGCUUAGGAACUGCAGACUAGUGCCAAGUGCCUAAAUCUUGUCUUAUUUGGGUAUCAGUUUACAUCCGAAGACAGUUGGCAAGGGCCAUGAUCUCUAUCAAUCUUUACACCCCUCCAAGCAGGAUAAAUAUUUAUUGAUCUCUUCUGUGCCAGGCGUGUGCUGGUGAACACUUUUUUUUUUUUUUGCAGUGAAUAGGACAGAUCUGGCCCCAUCUUCGUGGCGCUGUGGUCAACGGAAGAUCUACACAUAAUUAGACUACUACCUAAAACGGUCACACCUGGAAUGGUUGGCGCAUAGGAAGCUGUGGGUGCCAGAAGAAGCGCCCGCCUCAGCCUGGGAUACCGGAAAAACUUCCAAAAGGUGGUGAUUUUUAAGCCAAGUAUGAAUAGGUGCCAACUAGAAUGGGAGUCUUUCUGGCAGAAGGAACAUCAAGGUCAAAAGCCCAGAGGCAGGCAAAACAACAACAACAACAACAGCAAGUACAUAGUUUGAAGAAGUGAAAGCAGCUUACUGUCCCUGAAACACAAUUGGAGAAGGGAAAUUCUACGGGCGAUUUUAAAGAGCUUAGACUUUAUUCUGAGUAUAGAAAGCCGUUGCAAGGUUCCAGCCUUCUAGGAAGAAGUAACUUUGUCACGCAGCAAUUUAAAACUCUUCCAUGGAGUCCCAUUACAACUUAAAAAAAAAAAACAAAAAAACCCUAAACUCAUGUAUCAUAGCUUCAGGGUCUGUCAUGUGGUCUGGCCCUAUUUCUCCUUCUGGCCUCACCUACCCUCCUUUUUAUCCACUCCUGUCUAGCUCCACUUGACUUUAGAUAGCCAAUCUCUUUACCAUCUUGCGCCUUUGAUCUUGCUGUUCCCUUUGCCUGAAAAUGCUUUUCCAUCGGAUCUUUUAAUAGCUGUGCUCACAAUUCCUAUCUUGAAACACAUGUCAACUUAAGAGCCUUUCCCUGAUUAUAACAGCAUCUUCAGAUUGGAGUUUGAACAAAGCAAGACUGGCCUUGAGUUGUUUGUUGAAACUGGAGCGAAAGGCGCAUGGGACUUCAUGGCCUGUUCUCUCUACUGCUGUAUAGUUGAAGUUUUCAUAGUAACAUGUUAAAAUGGUACUGCACAUCUCUACAUAUUAUUUUUUAAAUUUAUUUUUGGUGGUACUGGGAAUUGAGCCCAGAAGCAUUUUACUCCUGAUCCACAUCCCCAGCCCUUUUUAUUCUUUAUUUUGAGACAGGGUCUCCCUAAGUUGUCAGCCGACCUAGAACUUGGGCUUUUUCUGCUUCAGCCUCCUGAAUAGCUCUGCCACCAUUGAAGCCAGAAUUAGACAGGCAGUCAGUAUAGACAGGUAAAUUGAGUUAGGUAGGAUCAAGGAUGCCAAUUUGAGUCCAGAAAGUUGGAGAGCUAUUAAAAUGCUAAUGCAGGGGGAGGGGGCUGGGGUUGUGGCUCAGUGGUAGAGCGCUUGCCUAGCAUGCACGAGGCACUGGGUUUGAUCCUCAGCACCACAUAGAUGUAAAAUAAAAAUAUUGUGUCCACUUAAAACUUGAGAAUAAAUAUUUUUUUAAAAAUGCUAAUGCCUUUAGAGCCCUUCCUUCACUGUUAUCAAGAUAACCUGCCCCUGUUCAAACCUGUUGUUAAGGUAACCUGUCCCUACAGGGA
rnacentral:lncRNA from 1 species